CGACACCCAGGCAGGCGUGCCCUCGGCCUAAUGGCUUCGGGCGCAACUUGCGUUCAAAGACUCGAUGGUUCACGGGAUUCUGCAAUUCACACCAAGUAUCGCAUUUCGCUACGUUCUUCAUCGAUGCAAGAGCCGAGAUAUCCGUUGCCGAGAGUCUUUCGGAU
rnacentral:rRNA from 1 species